CGGUCCCAGUUCCUUGUUUGUCUUGCGAUAUUUGGCAACACUGGUAAUUUGACUGGCGCUUGGUUUGUGUUGGAAAUGAGUUUACUCGCUACUUCUGCGAGUCCCAACAGCUCUUCACUUUACUACACAUUUAGUACAUACGAUACGCUGUCCCAAGUGGUUGGAAAUUGGAGUAUCUUUCCUUGCGUCCCCGUUCCCAUUUUCUCAAAAAUUUAGCGUACGAGAAGGCCAACAACACCUCCCAUCUGACCAGCUUCUCCAACCCGUCCCAUAACGCUGGGUGCACGAAUCCACCUGCUAACACAUUGCUCGCAGCUUGUAGUUGCACUGCUGUAUUGAACACCAUAGGUUUACCUUCAAUGGCUGCUCUGAAGUUUGUGUCCAUCACAGAGAAGAAUCCAGAGUCCACUGAAUCCACUGGGUGUAAUGGAGGUCGUCCAGAGACUGCUGAAUCCACUGGGUGUAAUGGAGGUCGUCCUGAGACCACUGAAUCCACUGUAAUGGAGGUCAUCCUGAGUCCACUGAAUCCACGGUAAUGGAGGUCAUCCUGAGUCCACUGAAUCCACUGGGUGUAAUGAGGUCGUCCUGAGUCUGCUGAAUCCACUGGGUGUAAUGGAGGUCGUCCUGAGAUCACUGAAUCCACUGGGUGUAAUGGUGGUCAUCCUGAGACCACUGAAUCCACUGUAAUGGAGGUCAUCCUGAGUCCACUGAAUCCACGGUAAUGGAGGUCAUCCUGAGUCCACUGAAUCCACUGGGUGUAAUGGAGGUCAUCCUGAGUCCACUGAAUCCACUGGGUGUAAUGGAGGUCGUCCUGAGACUGCUGAAUCAGCUGGGUGUAAUGGAGGUCGUCCUGAGACCACUGAAUCCACUGGGUGUAAUGGAGGUCAUCCAGAGACCACUGAAUCCACUGUAAUGGAGGUCAUCCUGAGUCCACUGAAUCCACGGUAUUGGAGGUCAUCCUGAGUCCACUGAAUCCACGGUAAUGGAGGUCAUCCUGAGUCCACUGAAUCCACGGUAAUGGAGGUCAUCCUGAGUCCACUGAAUCCACUGGGUGUAAUGGAGGUCAUCCAGAGUCCACUGGGUGUAAUGGAGGUCAUACUGAAUCCACUGGGUGUAAUGGAGGUUGUCCUGAGAACGCUGAGUCCACUGCAGGGCUCGAUAAUAACGAUGGCCUGAUGGCCUCGGGUGAGCAAAAAGUCUAUUAAAACUAGCAAGUCACUGUCCCGAUUGGGCCAUUAUAAUUUUUUUUUAAUGAUAACCGCAUUAUGAACUUGUCAUCCUCCAGGUGUUUCAUAAUCUAGUGCAGACACGAAUAACGGUACUUUCCCAUUAUAUCAAACUCAUUUAAAAAAAAUUCAUAAUUGCGCCAAAAUGUGAUUUUUCUUCUUCAUUCUUUGGGCCUGGGAAUUGAAAUGGGGAAAACUGUGCAAUAGGGAGCUCGGUAUAAGCAAGAACACCACCGUGGACUGGAACAACUAGGCUACCUAAGGCAAGUGUGCAUGGAGGCUGUUAUGGCGAGGAAUCAAGGACAAUUCAGAGGGGAGGGAAUGAUCGUUGAAACUGAUGAGUCGCUCUUCACCAAACCAGGAACAGUGCCGGCCGGAAUCUACCUCAGCAAUGGUUUUUGGGGAUUGCUUUUUCAUCGAAGUGCUGAACAGGAGCGCUCCAACUCUGCUGGCUGCCAUUCAAGAACACAUUGCCGAAGGAGGCAUCAUCUACUCCGACAGUUGGAAGGGCUACAAGACUCAAAAGCUGGAGGACGCAGGCUUGGAACACUUCAAAGUCAGCAUUCGCUACAACUUCGUGAAUCCCGACCCUGGCGUGCACACUCAACAUGUGGAGAAAAUGAUCUUAUUGCCUACCCCUUAUUGUUUAUUGCCGAUCUGAAAUAAAGAGAGUUUACAAGAAAAA
ensembl:lncRNA